CUUGCAUGGAAUAAUAGAACAAGACCUCGUUUCUGUUCUGUUGGUUUUUGGAAUACGAGGUAAUGAUUAAGAGGGACAGACGGGGGCAUUCGUAUUGCGGCGCUAGAGGUGAAAUUCUUGGACCGUCGCAAGACGAACUACUGCGAAAGCAUUUGCCAAGAAUGUUUUCUUUGAUCAAGAACGAAAGUCAGAGGUUCGAAGGCGAUCAGAUACCGCCCUAGUUCUGACCAUAAACGAUGCCAACCAGCGAUCCGCCUGAGUUACUCAAAUGACUCGGCGGGCAGCUUCCGGGAG
rnacentral:rRNA from 1 species